rnacentral:misc_RNA from 1 species
UGUGAGAGCGAGCUUGCUCGCGAUGACUGUUUACCGGCCGACAAUAAUGUUGACUGACAGUCUGCUAUCGCGAGCAAGCUCGCUCCCACA